UUCUGGCCCGAUCGAAGCUGACAUUAGCCAAUGCUUUCUGCCAGUCAAAGCGUGGCCUACAGUAACCUUGACAUUAUGGUCGUAUGGUGUGUUAUCAAUACGUAAUCGUGCAUUACCCAUGUCAAGUACAAUC